GACCGCGGGAGCGCGCAUUGCGUCACCGAGCGCGUGCAUGCGGAUGGUCUCCAUCAUCAGAGGGGAUUAGUAGUUUUCCGUUAUUGACGGUUUAAUGAGCUUUACAUCGGCGACAAAACUCGGAGAUUAACUGUGUGAUUAUCUGAGAAAUUCCGGUGGAGUCUGUCUGAGUUCAUCCGAGCUCGAGUCUGACGUGAUGUCAGUGCAGUGAUGGCUCCGCCCCAAAGGAGGCGUUCCUUUGGCCCCGUCUCACCCAAAUACAUCUACAGGAGCCUGUCACUUAAAUUGAGGGGCGGGGCUUCCCAAUGUGAGGCGGAGCAUACUGAUUGGAGGAGGAGGCUGAGUAAAGGACAAGCUGAUUUCUGGAGUCUGUGGGAUGCACUGGAGAAUGAAGACACACUCGGCGUCCAGCAUCUGCUGUCCAGAGAACAAGCGACGGACACACACACACACCGACGAGUGAACCGGGUGACUGAACUUGGCCUGGUGCCGCUGGAUGUGGCUCUUCUUACCCAGAAUGCCUCACUGCUGAAGGUGCUGCUGAAGGCCGGAGCCAAACACAACCCUACCUUGAUCUCGGCCUCUGAUUGGUCGCUGAAGCUGGAUGAGCUGGUGUCAUUGGCUGAGCAGAAGCUGGAGGAGUGGAGGGCGGAGCUUGAGGUCAGAGAGAAGGCGGAGCUUCAGGUGAGAGUGAGGGCGGAGCUUCAGACACACACAGACGCACAGAAGAACGUGGAGCAGUGGAGACGCCGCCGAGAGCUUUACCAGAACAUGAGGGAGAGAUUCAACAGGACGAGUAUGAACACACACACACACGUACACUGAAACAUUUAAAACAAACACACACUCACUAAAACAUUUAAAACAAGCACACACACACACUCACUGAAACUUUUAAAACAAACACACACUGAAACAUUUAAAACAAACACACACACACACACACACACACACACUGAAACAUUUAAAACAAACACACACACACACACGCACUGAAACAUUUAAAACAAACACAUACAUACACACACACACACACUGAAACAUUUAAAACACACACACACACACACACACUCACUGAAACAUUUAAAACAAACACACACAUACACACACACACACACUGAAACAUUUAAAACAAACACACACAUACACACACACACACUGAAACAUUUAAAACACACACACACACACACACACACACACACAC
rnacentral:lncRNA from 1 species